rnacentral:misc_RNA from 1 species
AAGUCGUAACAAGGUAACCGUAGGUGAACCUGCGGUUGGAUCAUUACCAAAUAUCCAAUAGGGUCAAGAGUUUCGACUCUUUGAUCCUAUUUCCACCUCUUGUGAAACGUAAUGUAUUUGGCGGGCCCUGCUCUGCCUCUUUGUAGCCUUGUGCUACUCGGAGGGCCUACAGAGAUUGCUUGUGAGGGCACUCAACUGCCCUCAACCGUCAUGUUAACACACCUAAUAAUAUUAUACCAACAAUCUGACGCUUAUAUGCUAGAGUGCGCGUUUGCGUGCUUUGGAACAUAACCGAAAACAACUUUUGACAACGGAUCUCUUGGCUCUC